rnacentral:lncRNA from 1 species
CUAAGGGUUGAGCUGAGGUGAAGAGCAAUCUGAGCAAAAGUAAAGAUCAAAUCAGUCUGAGAUGAAGAUCAAAGCUGAACCGAAGUAAAGAUCAAAUCAAUCUAAAGUGAAGCUCAAGGCCGAGUUGAAGUAAAAGUCAAAUUGAUCGUAGGUGAAGAUCAAGGCUGAAUUGAAGUAAAGAUCCAAUCAAUCCAAAGUGAAGCUCAAAGCUAUGCCGAAGUAAAG